UGAAAGCAUCGCGUGAGCUUAGGG
rnacentral:misc_RNA from 1 species